CUGCAAGCUGUGGGGUGACGCCAUAGCGUGAGAUUUGGGGUGACGCCCAGCCCGAGUACCCUGAAGAGAGGGGGAGCCUGCAGAAGACGAUUGGGGUGACGCCCUGCAGAAGAUCAUGGUGACGACGAUAGUGCCGGCCAGCAAGUAGAACCUGUGUUGCGGUGGGGUCCGGGGGGACGACAGGACGCUCACGGAGGACCCGUGUGGACGGCGGCGUCAAGUGUGACUUCGUGGUGACGGCGACGGGCUGAUCAUGGACCAUGUUCUUAAGGUAUUGCUUCAGUUUUGUAAGGAUUACUUUUGGUAAGUAUGCUCCUUCUAAGAAGGAUAUCCACGCACUUAUUUCCUGGUUAGAGCGGGAGGGGGAGUUCAAAGCCCCCCACGAGAUCCUUGAUCACCAGAGGUGGGAUGAUCUCACCUCUGAGUUUGCGCAACAUAUUAUGAGUGCUCAGGAGGGCGGGUCGGAGUUAAAAACUUGGGGUCUGAUACUAGGGGCGUUGAAAGCGGCCAGAGUAGAGGGAAAGGUAUUGGUGGAGGCUCGAUACCUUUUGGGUCUCGGCGGUGGAGGCGAGACACCGGACCUGAGGGGGUCCAAUGGGGGCUCGGGAGAAGUUUCUUGCAGGGGCCGAGAGGAAACGGAGCCGCCAAUGACCGCUGGCGAGAUGGCGGCGGGUGAGCCGACCGCGCUCAGUUCAAAAGAAGACAAACAACAAGAGAGGGAACGUUCGUUGUCUCGUCCCCCUCCCCCCUAUCCGGACCCCUCAGGGGGAACGUUAGUUGGUCUGCUCGAGGCUUUCAUCAAGGAGCUUCCCUGGCAAAAUGGCUGUCUCUCCUCAAACAGAAAGAGAGACAGAGGAAGUGCCAACACAGAGGUAACCAUGAAAAUUCUAGAGUUUGGGACUUCCGCACGUCUUCACAGCACUUGAGGAUGCACUCCUCAGUGCCCAGGAAAAUGGAUAAGAACUGUGAAAUACUCGACCAGUUCAACAGACGUCUUCAGGCCUUGACCAGAUGCAUGGCGAUGCUCACCUUGGAACUGCCUGAGGGCAGCGAUGAUUCCACCAGCUCGGUCACAGUGAGUGAAAACCGCUGCUCUUUGAGGACAUCGCUGUAUCCGUUGAGCACCAGUUGGGGGGAAAUGGAGGCACCUUACCGACACCCAAAAGCCCAGGAGAACUUGGAAAGCUCCAUCCCAGAAAGGAAAGCGGAGCAGGGACUGGGCCUCAGUGAUCAGAGAAAGCCUGAUGUGAUGGUGGCUCCCACGGUGCAGGACCUGCCCUUAGAGGAUGAGGCUAUGCAAAGUCAUUCGGAGCAUCCUAACAUAAAAAUGCAGGCACCACAGUUCCUGAAGAGGAGUUUCUCAGAGCCUGUCCUGGGUCAGAGAGACUCCCAGCUUCCCCAUCCUCUGAGGCACUCAAGGAGGCCCACUUACUCGCUCUUCCAGCGUGGGCAUGGGCAAGCUCUGGCAAGGAGGUCAGCAGCACAGGCCCUUGUCCCACGGCGAAAAUCUGCCCCCGAGACAGAUAAGUGCAGACAAGAAACAAGGAUUCCAGUCCACAUUGCCUGCUGCAGAAUCUAUGAAGGCCCUGAUGACCAUCAGAUCAAGAUGAUGCAUCUGUGGCUGGAGCAAUAUGAAUAUGUUGAGAGGCGAAAGUUGGAAUUUUAUAGAGACUACUACACCCAGCCUAACAAUGAAGGAUCCCAGGGCGUGGCUCCAUCUGACACUGCAGCCCCGGUUGUUGCAGGAGGAGCAACAGUUCGAGAGAGGAAUUCACCCGAGGUCAAGGCCAGUGAGCAACAGGACAAGAAAAAUACCACUGCUGCCCAGCAGCCAGAGGGGCUCCCUGAACGUACCCUCGUGGAGAGUUCUUCGGUUGUGCCAUGGAGGCGUCUGCCACAGGGUAGACCAUUCAGACCCCAAGCAGCACACGCAGAGAUGACGCCCAGGCAAGAAGCAGCAGAACACACGACUCCUAGACCAGAGACACCACCUACGCUGUGCAGAAACUGCUGUGCACCAGCCCUCCUGUGCCAUUUCAUUCAGAAUGCCGGGGCCAAGCUCCGAGCUGCCAGCAUGGCCCUCUAUUCCCUGAUCAGAAAGGCAACUAAGAAGCUCUCAAAGAAGGGAAGAGAGCCCAUCAUGAAAAACAGAUCCUUAGAGCAGGCCAGGCUGGACACAGAUCAACGUAGGAGCAGACGAUCACUGAGUCUACUGGCCAAAAAGAAAAACCCACGUACACCUCAGGAGGCAAUGAGGAAGGACAUGGUGGCAUCUCAAGAUAAGACUUUCAGCGAUGCCAGUGAGGCCAGAGGUGCCGAAAAAGCAUUGAGCCAGGGUGGCAGCAGCCACAGGCACCUGGACGUGCUGGCUCCUGUUGCCCGUAGAGAGCCAGCCAACGUGCUGCUACCUCGGAGAAGGCUGCUCUUGGAGACUGAAGCUCCUGCCCCAUCUCAGUCUGUUCUAGCAGAUGUCCAGGCAGGCACAGCUGCAGUGAGUAGUGGAUUACUGCCAGAUGCUACCAGGGGGCAGAAGCAGAAGGGCAAGGGACACACCCAGGACAAGCCAGCUCCUCCAAGAAGAAAGUCCCCAAAGAAAAAGCAGUCCUCCAGUGAGCAGAGACCCUCAGGUCUGCCACAGCCUCCAAAUCCCACUGGGACCAACGUUCCAGUCCUCUUCGUGCAGCAGCAGAGACCCUCAGGUCUGCCACAGCCUCCAAAUCCCACUGGGACCAACGUUCCAGUCUUCAUGCUGGAGCAGAGACCCUCAGGUCUGCCACAGCUUCCAAAUCUCGCUGGGACCGACAUUCCAAUCUCCCUCCUGCAGGAGCUUUUCACAGCACUUAGAGAUUUGAAGAAAGCCAGACAAACUGCUGAUGAGCUGCAGAAGCAGGUGCUGGCUUCCUUCUCAAAUCAGCCCACAAACAAUGCCAAGUAACUGAGGACAGAUACGGCAGCAGAGGAACCUGGGGCGAGGACACAGAGUGGAAGAGAAGGGCGAGGGAUGCACCCAGAACAGAUCUGACUAUGGGUCACUCUGCCCUACAUGCACCAAAGCUCCAUGCUGCUGCCAGCCAGGAGGUGUAAGCUCCCAGCGAUUGGCUGCACCUGCAACUGCAGCCCCAGGUGCAGGAAGAGAAGUGACUGUGAGAGAAGAA
ensembl:lncRNA